GUUGAACGCUGGCGGCAUGCCUUACACAUGCAAGUCGAACGGUAACAGGUCUUCGGAUGCUGACGAGUGGCGAACGGGUGGGUAAUACAUCGGAACGUGCCUAGUAGUGGGGGAUAACUACUCGAAAGAGUGGCUAAUACCGCAUGAGAUCUACGGAUGAAAGCAGGGGAUCGCAAGACCUUGUGCUACUAGAGCGGCCGAUGGCAGAUUAGGUAGUUGGUGGGAUAAAAGCUUACCAAGCCGACGAUCUGUAGCUGGUCUGAGAGGACGAUCAGCCACACUGGGACUGAGACACGGCCCAGACUCCUACGGGAGGCAGCAGUGGGGAAUUUUGGACAAUGGGCGAAAGCCUGAUCCAGCAAUGCCGCGUGCAGGAUGAAGGCCUUCGGGUUGUAAACUGCUUUUGUACGGAACGAAAAGCCCCGGGUUAAUACCCUGGGGUCAUGACGGUACCGUAAGAAUAAGCACCGGCUAACUACGUGCCAGCAGCCGCGGUAA
rnacentral:rRNA from 1 species